AAUAAGUGUAGUUUUAUAUUACUUGUCUAACGUUCGACCGUUCGUUUUUUAAAAUUUUUUUAUGAUUACUAUUUUUAUUUUUAUUAUAUGAUAAAACAUCAACAAUAAUUCAUGUGUGACUAAUUUUUUUAUUUUUUUUAAAUUUUCAAAUAAGAUGGACGUUUAAACGUUGGACACGGAUUUUUAUGGCUGGAAUGAAG
rnacentral:pre_miRNA from 1 species